rnacentral:rRNA from 1 species
AGAUUGAACGCUGGCGGAAUGCUUUACACAUGCAAGUCGAGCGGCAGCGCGGGGCAACCUGGCGGCGAGCGGCGAACGGGUGAGUAAUGCAUCGGAACAUGUCCAUGUCGUGGGGGAUAGCCCGGCGAAAGCCGGAUUAAUACCGCAUACGCCCGAGAGGGGAAAGUGGGGGACCGCAAGGCCUCACGCGAUUGGGUUGGCCGAUGUCCGAUUAGCUAGUUGGCGGGGUAAAGGCCCACCAAGGCGAAUGAUCGGUAGCUGGUCUGAGAGGAUGAUCAGCCACACUGGGACUGAGACACGGCCCAGGACUCCUACGGGAGCAG